CAGGGGGCUCAACUCAAACCAUGAAGGAUGCGAUGGCUUCUCUUAACCAAGAAGUAAUGCAGCUUGGUCAGUCACUCUACAACCAGCCUGGUGCUGGAGCUGCACCAGGUGCUGGUCCGGCACCUGGCGAUUCCGCUGGUCCUUCAGAAUCAUCAUCAGGGAAAGGACCUGAUGGAGACGUAAUCGAUGCUGAUUUCACCGACAGCAAGUGAGCAUAGAAGAGCAAUUUUGAGGCUAUAUUUACUUUUCAGCUUAUUAUACUCUUGCUUAGGUUGUGUAUAAGGUUUUAACUUUUGCACAAUUACGGAUUUGGGGGACAAUUUCUGGUGGUUGGGGUCUGCGAAAAAGAUGAUUCAUACAGGAAAUAGAGGUUAGGAAUGUUGAGUUAGGUGGCUACUCUUGCAUUCAAGAUGAAACAGUGUCACCCCCAUGAAUAUUUUUAGAGAUGUCACUAGUGUAACCAAAAAGUUAGAGAAACUGCUUUUCUGGUUCUCUCACGCCUACCAUCCCCAAACUUGAUAAUUAGGGGAUUUUGUGGAUCCGUUGCUAAAGCUCGUAGCGCUUUUGAUACUUGUUUUCUCUGU
rnacentral:lncRNA from 1 species